rnacentral:rRNA from 1 species
UACGUAGGGUGCGAGCGUUAAUCGGAAUUACUGGGCGUAAAGCGUGCGCAGGCGGUUCGUUAAGUUCGUUGUGAAAGCCCCGGGCUCAACCUGGGAACUGCAAUGGAAACUGGCGGGCUUGAAUGCGGCAGAGGGGGGUGGAAUUCCGCGUGUAGCAGUGAAAUGCGUAGAGAUCGGCAGGAACACCCAGGGGGAAACCAGUCGACUGGGCAUCUACUGACGCUGAGGUGCGAGAGCGUGGGGAGCGAACCGG